rnacentral:lncRNA from 1 species
CCUCUUUUGCGUUAGAUCUUGGCCUGUUGGUGUCCCUCUAGGGGUUGCUUCCUUCUUCGAUGGCAUUUUGUUGGGGAGGCGGCUAUCACAAUUUGUCCUUGAUGGUUUUAGGCCUGUGUUCUUAAAGAUGUCGCCACCGUUUUUGUCCUUUUUGUUUUUGUUUUUUUGUUUUUACUUGCUAUGAAAUACCCAUCGGUGGGUAAAUGACGACUAGACAAGCGGCUGUUACGCGCAUCAUGGCAUCAGCUUGUUUUUUUAGACAAUAAUCCGUGUUUGGUUACGUGUGAAAUAUUAAAUGUUUAAUUCAUUUAAUAAAGUUUUGAUUUAAUAAUAAUAACUUUUAAUUUCC